rnacentral:rRNA from 1 species
UACGUAGGGUGCGAGCGUUAAUCGGAAUUACUGGGCGUAAAGCGUGCGUAGGCGGUUGGCCAAGUCAGCUGUGAAAGCCCCGGGCUUAACCUGGGAAUGGCAUUUGGGACUGCAAGGCUGGAGUUUGGCAGAGGAGACUGGAAUUCCUGGUGUAGCAGUGAAAUGCGUAGAUAUCUGGAGGAAUACCGGUGGCGAAGGCGGCAUCCUGGACCGGCAUUGACGCUGAGGAGCGAAAGCUAGGGGAGCAAACGGG